rnacentral:rRNA from 1 species
AUUGAACGCUGGCGGCAGGCCUAACACAUGCAAGUCGAACGGUAACAGGAAGAAGCUUGCUUCUUUGCUGACGAGUGGCGGACGGGUGAGUAAUGUCUGGGAAACUGCCUGAUGGAGGGGGAUAACUACUGGAAACGGUAGCUAAUACCGCAUAACGUCGCAAGACCAAAAAGGGGGACCUUCGGGCCUCUUGCCAUCGGAUGUGCCCAGAUGGGAUUAGCUAGUAGGUGGGGUAACGGCUCACCUAGGCGACGAUCCCUAGCUGGUCUGAGAGGAUGACCGGACACAGUGGAAGGGAGACACGGGCCAGACUCCUACGGGAUGCAGCAGUGAGGGGUAUUGCAACAAGGGCGCAAGUCUGAUGAGGGCGUGCCGCGAGUAUGCAGAAGGCCUUCGGGUUGUGGAGUAGCUUCAGCAGGGAGGAAGGAAGUACCGCCAGCACCUGUGGUACAAGCCGUGGCAGGCAGAAGAAGAACCGCCUAACUCCGGG